CCUACUUUUGUCCUCCUUGCGGCAUCUUGGUCAAUGGACGGAAGUCUGAACCAGCCAAGUAGCGUGAAGGAUGACUGCCCUAUGGGUUGUAAACUUCUUUUAUAUGGGAAUAAAAUGUUCCACGUGUGGGAUUUUGUAUGUACCAUAUGAAUAAGGAUCGGCUAACUCCGUGCCAGCAGCCGCGGUAAUACGGAGGAUCCGAGCGUUAUCCGGAUUUAUUGGGUUUAAAGGGAGCGUAGGUGGAUUGUUAAGUCAGUUGUGAAAGUUUGCGGCUCAACCGUAAAAUUGCAGUUGAAACUGGCAGUCUUGAGUACAGUAGAGGUGGGCGGAAUUCGUGGUGUAGCGGUGAAAUGCUUAGAUAUCACGAAGAACUCCGAUUGCGAAGGCAGUUCACUGGACUGCAACUGACACUGAGGCUCGAAAGUGUGGGUAUCAAACAGGAUUAGAUACCCUUGUAGUC
rnacentral:rRNA from 1 species